rnacentral:rRNA from 1 species
AACGAACGCUGGCGGCAUGCCUAACACAUGCAAGUCGAACGAGACCUUCGGGUCUAGUGGCGCACGGGUGCGUAACGCGUGGGAACCUGCCCUUAGGUUCGGAAUAACUCCCCGAAAGGGGUGCUAAUACCGGAUAAUGUCCUCGGACCAAAGAUUUAUCGCCUUUGGAUGGGCCCGCGUUGGAUUAGCUAGUUGGUAGGGUAAAGGCCUACCAAGGCGACGAUCCAUAGCUGGUCUGAGAGGAUGAUCAGCCACACUGGGACUGAGACACGGCCCAGACUCCUACGGGAGGCAGCAGUGGGGAAUAUUGGACAAUGGGCGAAAGCCUGAUCCAGCAAUGCCGCGUGAGUGAUGAAGGCCUUAGGGUUGUAAAGCUCUUUUACCCGGGAUGAUAAUGACAGUACCGGGAGAAUAAGCUCCGGCUAACUCCGUG